rnacentral:rRNA from 1 species
UGGGGAAUAUUGGACGAUGGGCGAAAGCCUGAUCCAGCCAUGCCGCGUGUGUGAAGAAGGUCUUCGGAUUGUAAAGCACUUUAAGUUGGGAGGAAGGGCAGUAAGCGAAUACCUUGCUGUUUUGACGUUACCGACAGAAUAAGCACCGGCUAACUCUGUGCCAGCAGCCGCGGUAAUACAGAGGGUGCAAGCGUUAAUCGGAAUUACUGGGCGUAAAGCGCGCGUAGGUGGUUCGUUAAGUUGAAUGUGAAAGCCCCGGGCUCAACCUGGGAACUGCAUCCAAAACUGGCGAGCUAGAGUAGGGCAGAGGGUGGUGGAAUUUCCUGUGUAGCGGAGAAAUGCGUAGAUAUAGGAAGGAACACCAGUGGCGAAGGCGACCACCUGGGCUCAUACUGACACUGAGGUGCGAAAGCGUGGGGAGCAAACAGG